rnacentral:misc_RNA from 1 species
GAUGAAGAACGUAGUGAAAUGCGAUAAGUAGUGUGAAUUGCAGAAUUCAGUGAAUCAUCGAAUCUUUGAACGCACAUUGCGCCCCUUGGUAUUCCAUGGGGCAUGCCUGUUCGAGCGUCAUUUGUACCCUCAAGCUUUGCUUGGUGUUGGGUGUUUGUCCCGCGUUGCGCGUGGACUCGCCUUAAAGCGAUUGGCAGCCGGCAUAUUGGCCUUGGAGCGCAGCACAUUUUGCGCUUCUAGUCAUGAAUGUUGGCGUCCAUUAAGCCUAUACAUGUGCUCUUGACCUCGGAUCAGGUAGGGAUACCCGCUGAACUUAAGCAUAUCAAUAAGCGGAGGA